GACGAACGCUGGCGGCGUGCCUAAUACAUGCAAGUAGAACGCUGAAGGAAGGGCUUGCUUCUCUGGAUGAGUUGCGAACGGGUGAGUAACGCGUAGGUAACCUGCCUGGUAGCGGGGGAUAACUAUUGGAAACGAUAGCUAAUACCGCAUAAUAGUAGAUGUUGCAUGACAUUUGCUUAAAAGGUGCAAUUGCAUCACUACCAGAUGGACCUGCGUUGUAUUAGCUAGUUGGUGAGGUAACGGCUCACCAAGGCAACGAUACAUAGCCGACCUGAGAGGGUGAUCGGCCACACUGGGACUGAGACACGGCCCAGACUCCUACGGGAGGCAGCAGUAGGGAAUCUUCGGCAAUGGACGGAAGUCUGACCGAGCAACGCCGCGUGAGUGAAGAAGGGUGUCGGAUCGUAAAGCUCUGUUGUAAGAGAAGAACGAGUGUGAGAGUGGAAAGUUCACACUGUGACGGUAGCUUACCAGAAAGGGACGGCUAACUACGUG
rnacentral:rRNA from 1 species